ACAUCGAUUUCCUAAGUAGCGGCGAGCGAACGGAAAAGAGCCUAACUCAUUAGCGAUUUAUUAAAGUUAGUCAAAUUAUCUGAAAAGAUAAACCAAAGAAAGUGAAAGUCUUGUAGACGAAAACAUUAAUAAACGAGAGGGAAAGUAUCACCGGGCACGAGUAACCCGGUGUGAAGAUAGGGGGCCCAUCCCCUAAGGCUAAAUACUAACAUGUGACCGAUAGUGAACAAGUACCGUGAGGGAAAGGUGAAAAGAACCCCGAAAGGGGAGUGAAAUAGAACCUGAAACCUAGUGCCUACAAGCAGACAGAGCGUGAGCGAACGUGAUGUCGUACCUUUUGUAGAAUGGGCCAGCGAGUUAUUCUAAAUUGCAAGGUUAAUGAUUUAAGAUUAGAAGCCGCAGCGAAAGCGAGUCUUAAUAGGGCGAAAGUAAGUUAGAAUAGACCCGAAACCGGGUGAUCUAUCCAUGGUCAGAGUGAAGUUGAAGUAAAAUUCAAUGGAGGCUCGAACCGGGUGCGGUUUAAAACGCAUCGGAUGAACUGUGGAUAGGGGCGAAAAACCAAACGAACCCGGAGAUAGCUGGUUCUCCUCGAAAUAGCUUUAGGGCUAGCCUCUGACCUAAGAUUUUAGGAGGUAGAGCACUGAAUGGUCUAGGGCGGAUUACCGUACCAAAACCUAUCAAACUCCGAAUGCCAAAAAAUCAAGUCAGGGAGUCAGACUUAGGGGGAUAAGCUUCUAAGUCGAAAGGGAAACAGCCCAGACCGACAGCUAAGGUCCCAAAAUUUGAAUUAAGUGGAAAAGGAUGUGAAUCUACUAAGACAACCAGGACGUUGGCUUAGAAGCAGCCAUGCAUUUAAAGAGUGCGUAAUAGCUCACUGGUCAAGUGGGUUUGCGCCGAAAAUGAACGGGGCUCAAAUUCAAUACCGAAGCUUCGGAUUAAUAGAGGGAUUAAGUUUACAAAUGAGACUAGGAAAUAUUUAACAAAAACAGAAGAGAUUAAGAAAAACAAAUUUCAGACGCAGACAUAAAGAUAGGAUAUUAAAGAAAAAUAUUCAAAAAAACACAAGUCUAAAGUCAAAAGUGAGUAACAUAAGAAAUUAUGAACUAACAAUCACUGGUUAGAGUUAAAAACUAGGACUCAUAGCUAAACUUAAUACCUCUAUUAGUGGUAGAGGAGCAUUGUAUUAGAGACGAAGCCAAGGCGAAAGCAAAAGUGGAUCUAAUACAAGAGAGAAUGCUGGCAUGAGUAGCGAGAAGGGAUGUGAGAAUCAUCCCCGUCGAAACCCUAAGGACUCCUGAGCAAGGCUCGUCCCCUCAGGGAAAGUCGGGACCUAAGCCAAGGCCGAAAGGCGUAGGCGAUGGAUAACAGGUUUAUAUUCCUGUACCGCUUGAAGUCGUUAAGAGAGAAGUGAUGACGCAAAAGGAUAAGCAAAGCCAUCAGAUGGAAAAGAUGGUCUAAAGCCGUAGGAAGAAAAGUAGGCAAAUCCGCUUUUCACAAAUUCUAAAAGCCGAUAGGUAUCGAAAACAUAAGUAGAGAAGUUGCCGAUUCCAGGUUGCCAAGAAAAGUCACUAUCCAGACCAAAGCGCCCGUACCAAAACCGACACAGGUAGGGAGGUAGAGAAUACCAAGACGCGCGGAAGAACCUUUGUUAAGGAACUCGGCAAAAUGCCCCCGUAACUUCGGGAGAAGGGGAGCCUGAGCAAUCAGGCCACAGAAACCAGGCCCAAGCGACUGUUUACCAAAAACACAAGUUUCUGCAAAAUCGCAAGAUGAAGUAUAGGAGCUGACACCUGCCCGGUGCUGGAAGGUUAAGGGGAAGGCUUAGAGCAAUCGAAGGCUAGAACUUAAGCCCCAGUAAACGGCGGCCGUAACUAUAACGGUCCUAAGGUAGCGAAAUUCCUUGUCGGGUAAGUUCCGACCCGCACGAAAGGUGUAACGAUUUGGGCACUGUCUCAACAAAGGAUCCGGUGAAAUUGUAGUAGUCGUGAAGAUGCGACUUACCCACGCUAGGACGGAAAGACCCCGUGGAGCUUUACUGUAGGCUGAUAUUGGAUUUUGAGAUUAAAUGUACAGGAUAGUUGGGAGACUGAGAUAUCUGGAUGCCAAUCUAGGAGGAGUCACCGGUGGGAUACCAACCUUUUAAUAUCAAAGUUCUAACCAUAGCCCUUGAAUCAGGGCAUGGGACAUUGUCAGUUGGGCAGUUUGACUGGGGCGGUCGCCUCCUAAAAAGUAACGGAGGCGUUCAAAGGUUCGCUCAGAAUGGACGGAAACCAUUCGCAGAGUAUAAAGGCAGAAGCGAGCUUAACUGCGAGAGCUACAACUCAAGCAGAGUCGAAAGACGGACUUAGUGAUCCGGUGGUACCGCAUGGAAGGGCCAUCGCUCAACGGAUAAAAGCUACCCUGGGGAUAACAGGCU
rnacentral:rRNA from 1 species